GAUGAACGCUGGCGGCGUGCCUAAUACAUGCCAGUCGAGCGAACAGACGAGGAGCUUGCUCCUCUGACGUUAGCGGCGGACGGGUGAGUAACACGUGGAUAACCUACCUAUAAGACUGGGAUAACUUCGGGAAACCGGAGCUAAUACCGGAUAAUAUAUUGAACCGCAUGGUUCAAUAGUGAAAGACGGUUUUGCUGUCACUUAUAGAUGGAUCCGCGCCGCAUUAGCUAGUUGGUAAGGUAACGGCUUACCAAGGCAACGAUGCGUAGCCGACCUGAGAGGGUGAUCGGCCACACUGGAACUGAGACACGGUCCAGACUCCUACGGGAGGCAGCAGUAGGGAAUCUUCCGCAAUGGGCGAAAGCCUUACGGAGCAACGCCGCGUGAGUGAUGAAGGUCUUCGGAUCGUAAAACUCUGUUAUUAGGGAAGAACAAAUGUGUAAGUAACUAUGCACGUCUUGACGGUACCUAAUCAGAAAGCCACGGCUAACUACGUG
rnacentral:rRNA from 1 species